UACGUAGGGGGCUAGCGUUGUCCGGAAUCAUUGGGCGUAAAGCGCGCGUAGGCGGCCCGGUAAGUCCGUUGUGAAAGUCAAAGGCUCAACCUUUGAAAGCCGAUGGAUACUGCCGGGCUGGAGUCCGGAAGAGGAGAGUGGAAUUCCUGGUGUAGCGGUGGAAUGCGCAGAUAUCAGGAGGAACACCAAUAGCGAAGGCAGCUCGCUGGGACGGUACUGACGCUGAGGCGCGAAAGCCAGGGGAGCAAACGGG
rnacentral:rRNA from 1 species